AUUUCGUUCCUUCUUCCAUUGCUAUUAUAUUUAGAGAGAAAGAGAGAGAAGUAGAGAUGGCGGGAGUGGGUGGUGCUGUAGGAGUACUGAUAUUGGACGAGUCUGUACUUUUGCAAUGUGAAGUACAUUUGACACUUUGGCAGGGGCUGAGGAAGCAAAGCAAGACUUCCAAGAGAUUGUAUGAACUAGAAUUUGGACUCCAUGGUUUUACUUUAGUUUCUAACUUUGCUAGAGCAUGAACAAGACUUGCGAGACACCCUGCUAUUCCUUUUCUUCUUAGGUAACGCUCUAAUUUCAGUUCUGGGUUUCAUGAAUGUUUGAUCAUGUUUUCCUUUUUAUCUAUGCUAGUUGGAUUUCUCUGAGCACUUCAUAUUACUUUUUGGU